CGUGUUACAAUGGGGGGUACAGAGGGCCGCUACCACGCGAGUGGAUGCCAAUCCCAAAAACCUCCCUCAGUUCGGACUGGAGUCUGCAACCCGACUCCACGAAGCUGGAUUCGCUAGUAAUCGCGCAUCAGCCACGGCGCGGUGAAUACGUUCCCGGGCCUUGUACACACCGCCCGUCAAGCCAUGGGAGCCGGGGGUACCUGAAGUGCGUAACCGCGAGGAGCGCCCUAGGGUAAAACUGGUGACUGGGGCUAAGUCGUAACAAGGUAUC
rnacentral:rRNA from 1 species